rnacentral:rRNA from 1 species
CCUACGGGAGGCAGCAGUAAGGAAUAUUGGUCAAUGGACGCAAGUCUGAACCAGCCAUGCCGCGUGAAGGAUUAAGGUCCUCUGGAUUGUAAACUUCUUUUAUUUGGGACGAAAAAGGGCCUUUCUAGGUCAACUGACGGUACCAGAUGAAUAAGCACCGGCUAACUCCGUGCCAGCAGCCGCGGUAAUACGGAGGGUGCAAGCGUUAUCCGGAUUCACUGGGUUUAAAGGGUGCGUAGGCGGGUAGGUAAGUCAGUGGUGAAAUCCUGGAGCUCAACUCCAGAACUGCCAUUGAUACUAUUUAUCUUGAAUAUUGUGGAGGUAAGCGGAAUAUGUCAUGUAGCGGUGAAAUGCUUAGAUAUGACAUAGAACACCUAUUGCGAAGGCAGCUUACUACGCAUAUAUUGACGCUGAGGCACGAAAGCGUGGGGAUCAAACAGGAUUAGAUACCCUGGUAGUCCACGCCCUAAACUAUGAUUACUCGACAUUUGUGAUACACAAUAAGUGUCUGAGCGAAAGCAUUAAGUAAUCCACCUGGAAGUACGUCCGCAAGGAUGAAACUCAAAUGAGUAGAGNGNGAGAGNGCGAGGACGACGACGAGGGAGGAGG